rnacentral:rRNA from 2 species
GGUUAAGCGACUAAGCGUACACGGUGGAUGCCCUGGCAGUCAGAGGCGAUGAAGGACGUGCUAAUCUGCGAUAAGCGUCGGUAAGGUGAUAUGAACCGUUAUAACCGGCGAUUUCCGAAUGGGGAAACCCAGUGUGUUUCGACACACUAUCAUUAACUGAAUCCAUAGGUUAAUGAGGCGAACCGGGGGAACUGAAACAUCUAAGUACCCCGAGGAAAAGAAAUCAACCGAGAUUCCCCCAGUAGCGGCGAGCGAACGGGGAGCAGCCCAGAGCCUGAAUCAGUGUGUGUGUUAGUGGAAGCGUCUGGAAAGGCGCGCGAUACAGGGUGACAGCCCCGUACACAAAAAUGCACAUACUGUGAGCUCGAUGAGUAGGGCGGGACACGUGGUAUCCUGUCUGAAUAUGGGGGGACCAUCCUCCAAGGCUAAAUACUCCUGACUGACCGAUAGUGAACCAGUACCGUGAGGGAAAGGCGAAAAGAACCCCGGCGAGGGGAGUGAAAAAGAACCUGAAACCGUGUACGUACAAGCAGUGGGAGCCUCUUUUAUGGGGUGACUGCGUACCUUUUGUAUAAUGGGUCAGCGACUUAUAUUCUGUAGCAAGGUUAACCGAAUAGGGGAGCCGAAGGGAAACCGAGUCUUAACCGGGCGUUAAGUUGCAGGGUAUAGACCCGAAACCCGGUGAUCUAGCCAUGGGCAGGUUGAAGGUUGGGUAACACUAACUGGAGGACCGAACCGACUAAUGUUGAAAAAUUAGCGGAUGACUUGUGGCUGGGGGUGAAAGGCCAAUCAAACCGGGAGAUAGCUGGUUCUCCCCGAAAGCUAUUUAGGUAGCGCCUCGUGAAUUCAUCUCCGGGGGUAGAGCACUGUUUCGGCAAGGGGGUCAUCCCGACUUACCAACCCGAUGCAAACUGCGAAUACCGGAGAAUGUUAUCACGGGAGACACACGGCGGGUGCUAACGUCCGUCGUGAAGAGGGAAACAACCCAGACCGCCAGCUAAGGUCCCAAAGUCAUGGUUAAGUGGGAAACGAUGUGGGAAGGCCCAGACAGCCAGGAUGUUGGCUUAGAAGCAGCCAUCAUUUAAAGAAAGCGUAAUAGCUCACUGGUCGAGUCGGCCUGCGCGGAAGAUGUAACGGGGCUAAACCAUGCACCGAAGCUGCGGCAGCGACACUGUGUGUUGUUGGGUAGGGGAGCGUUCUGUAAGCCUGUGAAGGUGUACUGUAAGGUAUGCUGGAGGUAUCAGAAGUGCGAAUGCUGACAUAAGUAACGAUAAAGCGGGUGAAAAGCCCGCUCGCCGGAAGACCAAGGGUUCCUGUCCAACGUUAAUCGGGGCAGGGUGAGUCGACCCCUAAGGCGAGGCCGAAAGGCGUAGUCGAUGGGAAACAGGUUAAUAUUCCUGUACUUGGUGUUACUGCGAAGGGGGGACGGAGAAGGCUAUGUUGGCCGGGCGACGGUUGUCCCGGUUUAAGCGUGUAGGCUGGUUUUCCAGGCAAAUCCGGAAAAUCAAGGCUGAGGCGUGAUGACGAGGCACUACGGUGCUGAAGCAACAAAUGCCCUGCUUCCAGGAAAAGCCUCUAAGCAUCAGGUAACAUCAAAUCGUACCCCAAACCGACACAGGUGGUCAGGUAGAGAAUACCAAGGCGUUUGAGAGAACUCGGGUGAAGGAACUAGGCAAAAUGGUGCCGUAACUUCGGGAGAAGGCACGCUGAUAUGUAGGUGAAGUCCCUCGCGGAUGGAGCUGAAAUCAGUCGAAGAUACCAGCUGGCUGCAACUGUUUAUUAAAAACACAGCACUGUGCAAACACGAAAGUGGACGUAUACGGUGUGACGCCUGCCCGGUGCCGGAAGGUUAAUUGAUGGGGUCAGCGCAAGCGAAGCUCUUGAUCGAAGCCCCGGUAAACGGCGGCCGUAACUAUAACGGUCCUAAGGUAGCGAAAUUCCUUGUCGGGUAAGUUCCGACCUGCACGAAUGGCGUAAUGAUGGCCAGGCUGUCUCCACCCGAGACUCAGUGAAAUUGAACUCGCUGUGAAGAUGCAGUGUACCCGCGGCAAGACGGAAAGACCCCGUGAACCUUUACUAUAGCUUGACACUGAACAUUGAGCCUUGAUGUGUAGGAUAGGUGGGAGGCUUUGAAGUGUGGACGCCAGUCUGCAUGGAGCCGACCUUGAAAUACCACCCUUUAAUGUUUGAUGUUCUAACGUGGACCCGUGAUCCGGGUUGCGGACAGUGUCUGGUGGGUAGUUUGACUGGGGCGGUCUCCUCCUAAAGAGUAACGGAGGAGCACGAAGGUUGGCUAAUCCUGGUCGGACAUCAGGAGGUUAGUGCAAUGGCAUAAGCCAGCUUGACUGCGAGCGUGACGGCGCGAGCAGGUGCGAAAGCAGGUCAUAGUGAUCCGGUGGUUCUGAAUGGAAGGGCCAUCGCUCAACGGAUAAAAGGUACUCCGGGGAUAACAGGCUGAUACCGCCCAAGAGUUCAUAUCGACGGCGGUGUUUGGCACCUCGAUGUCGGCUCAUCACAUCCUGGGGCUGAAGUAGGUCCCAAGGGUAUGGCUGUUCGCCAUUUAAAGUGGUACGCGAGCUGGGUUUAGAACGUCGUGAGACAGUUCGGUCCCUAUCUGCCGUGGGCGCUGGAGAACUGAGGGGGGCUGCUCCUAGUACGAGAGGACCGGAGUGGACGCAUCACUGGUGUUCGGGUUGUCAUGCCAAUGGCACUGCCCGGUAGCUAAAUGCGGAAGAGAUAAGUGCUGAAAGCAUCUAAGCACGAAACUUGCCCCGAGAUGAGUUCUCCCUGACCCUUUAAGGGUCCUGAAGGAACGUUGAAGACGACGACGUUGAUAGGCCGGGUGUGUAAGCGCAGCGAUGCGUUGAGCUAACCGGUACUAAUGAACCGUGAGGCUUAACCUU